rnacentral:rRNA from 1 species
UACAGAGGGUGCAAGCGUUAAUCGGAAUUACUGGGCGUAAAGCGCGCGUAGGUGGUUUGUUAAGUUGGAUGUGAAAUCCCCGGGCUCAACCUGGGAACUGCAUUCAAAACUGACUGACUAGAGUAUGGUAGAGGGUGGUGGAAUUUCCUGUGUAGCGGUGAAAUGCGUAGAUAUAGGAAGGAACACCAGUGGCGAAGGCGGCUCACUGGACCGGUACUGACGCUGAUGCGCGAAAGCGUGGGGAGCAAACGGG